AUACGGAGGGUGCAAGCGUUACUCGGAAUCACUGGGCGUAAAGCGCGCGCAGGCGGUCUUUUCAGUUGGAUGUGAACGCCUACGGCUCAACCGUAGAACUGCAUCCAAAACUAUUAGACUAGAGUGUGGGAGAGGAAGAUGGAAUUAGUUGUGUAGGGGUAAAAUCCGUAGAGAUAACUAGGAAUACCAAAAGCGAAGGCAAUCUUCUGGAACACUACUGACGCUGAGGCGCGAAAGCGUGGGGAGCAAACAGGAUUAGAAACCCGAGUAGUCC
rnacentral:rRNA from 1 species